GCUUUGUUCAAGUGAAUAACACUUUUUUCAUCUGGACAUUGAACAGUGAAAUGAAUGGGAUAUUUCUCGCCAUAAAAUAGACUAAUAAUACAGAAUACAGAGAAAAGCAAUUGGGAGAUAUGGUAGUGCUAUGUUAUUGCCAACUGACAGUGAGUCUAUGAAAAAUGUAUUUGUUAGUACGCGCAAAUCGCGAGAAAAAAUGCCCAGAUUAUCAAUAAUAAAUCACAGAUUACCCGACAACAAAUCGGUUCAUUGUUUUGUUCAGUUAUUGUAUUGUUCGACAGCUUAAAAUGGUUCGUACUACUUGUGCCAACACGAUUAAAUAGUAGUUGUUUAUUGGCUUGAUUUGCCAAAAAAUGGCAUAGCAAUUCGGAUUUCGCUUUCGCAGUUUUUGUUCUACGUUGGGCGCAUAAAGUGAGAUCUAAUGGAAUGCCCCCUGCAGAGCCAGAGUACCAGGAGAAAUAGAAGGUUCCAGAGUUUAAUAAUUUUCGCACCUGGAAUGUUUGACUUGGUUCAAUUUUUUACUAACAUUUUGUUGUUGUUUUAUCUAAUAAAUAUGAAAAGUCAGAUAGUUGGGAGAAUGUUUCGCUCAUAAUAUGGAUGUCCCAAUAUAAAAAGGCAGUAAUGAAAUAAAAAGGCAGUAAAAGCAAGGGUUUAAAAAAUUCGUUAGGUAUUGCAAGUGAUUUUAUUUAUUGUAUUCUAUCACGGGAUUUACACGAUUUCACUUUUAAAAGGUUUGGAAAAUUUGCUCCCGCCUUCCUAGCCAUGUUGUCUUCCUAGAGUUGUCUUAACAAACUUAAAUUGAUAGACUGUCUGUGUAAUAAAGUGCAGCAACAAAUAUUGGAAUUUUUUUCUGGAUCUAUGCCGCAAUGACGAACACAUCAAAAAAAUAAUAACCAAUUUAAAAUCUGAAUGUUCUACGAGAACGAGCAUUUUUUCAUGCCUAAAAGAUGUUGCAAGGGAAAAUAUGAGAAAAUAAUUUGUGAUAUUGCUGGACGGACUACAUUCAAAAGCUGAUUUCAAUAUACAUCUAGGUCAACAAUUUCUUCAAGGGUUUUUUACGAUAAGUUUUAUUUAACUGAAUUACGCAUUUUGAUUUGUUUUAUUUUCGUUCGUUGUUGAAUAGGAAAUUCUCAUUCAAAGCUUCUAAACUGUUUUACCUCUAAUGAAAUUAGUUUAUUUAGACCUGUAAAACACUUGACCUGAAAACACCUACUAACAAUUUUCCCAUAAAACGGUAAAAAUUAUAUUUUCUAUGCAUUUGUACUUUAUUUGAAUUGUAAAAAGUACUCAGAUCAAAUAAAAUAUGUAAGAAAUC